UUUAGUUUGAAGAAUGAGGGACAUUGAAGAAUAAGGACAUUUUGGUUAUCCGAAAUGCUGCUUGCAGGGAAUGCUACUUGCAUCUAAUGAGUAUGAUACUAAAUGUUCUACAAUGUACGGGACAGCUCCCACGACAAAGGCUUAUUCCCCAAAUGUCCACAGCCCGAGGUAGACAGACAUGGGAUUGGAGGAACAAUAUUCAGGACUCUAGAAUCUCAAGUCUCUAACACCCUGCGAGAGUUGAAACAGCCACUGAGAAGGGCCACCACUUAACUGUUCUCUAGAAUUCCCAGAAGAUCUGGUGAAUUUAUCUCCUGUGACAGUGCAUGGACUCAUUCAUAGAUGUAGUUCUAAGAUUUUAAGAUACUCUUAAAAUAUGUUCUAGCUACCCACAUGGAUGCCCCCCUUGAUGCUAGAUCAAUUUCUCAUUAAGAGACUUUUGCUAAUUCUUAAACUACCUCCUUACUUUGCAUUUCUGUAACUCAGCAUCACAUCCGAAAAUAGGCAGAUUAGUCAGCACUGCAUCUGAAAAUAGAAAGAUUAGUCAAAACCCCAAAACGAGCACCUUUUUUGAUGUUUGCUUCAAAGGCCAAGGGCUCAAUCGCCAAUCGCAGUUGCAUUCCGAAAGGCAUUACAGCAAGAAGUAGGGCACGGAUGCACUUGGAGGCGGUCAGUAAGCCAGGCGGGGGCCCUGACCGUGCCGGUAAUGUGACAGCAUGAAGGGUGUGCAAAGCUUGGCCUCCUGGUCGCAUUGUUCACACUUCAGCCGAUUGGAUCGUUGUCAACUUCAUGUUUUUUUUCAGAUGUGACCCGGUCAUCAACAGUGACCAGCAGCAGCAGAGAAUGGGGACGGCAAGGGGAAAGAAAUCGCAAUGUGUGCACCUGGUUUGGGGAGAAGUAUGUAAAUAGAGCCGUGGAACAUCAACAUGACGAGGAAAAGGGCGGGGCUAGAGCGAGGACUGAAGGCAGAGUAAACACAGCUUGUCUGAAAAACAGACACGGUCCUCGGUCCUCGUAACUUUGGCUCUCGGGGGUGCAAAUGGCGUAUAUCUGAUUCCGCUCUGUGGUAGCAAGAUGCUUCUUCACCUUGGGUAAACAGGAAAUUACAACUAAAGGACGCACAGAGUAACCUGCUGUGUGUCACCUGCACACUGUGGACUGCAGUGCUCUUGGAUUUAUACAUAAAUACUUCAGAGCUUUAAAUGGCAAAAGGCUAGAUCUGUUUACCUCUGCACUGUGUACUUGGGAAUUACGAAAGAAUUAAGGAAAUAAUUUACUGUUGUAGUAAAGGCCCUGAGUGCAAUAUUUAUAACAUAAAAUUCCUUCCCUUAAGAAACGUGGGGAACUCUGUUGCAGGAACUCUGAAAAUGACAUGCAGAACAGAAUGCUCCUU